CGAAAGCCUGACGGAGCAAUACCGCGUGAGGGAAGACUGCCUAUGGGUUGUAAACCUCUUUUUUCAGGGAGGAAUAAAAUGACGUGUACCUGAAGAAUAAGCAUCGGCUAACUCCGUGCCAGCAGCCGCGGUAAGACGGAGGAUGCAAGUGUUAUCCGGAAUCACUGGGCGUAAAGCGUUUGUAGGUGGUUUAGUAAGUCUAUUGUUAAAUCUUGAAGCUCAACUUCAAACAUGUAAUAGAAACUACUAAACUUGAGGAUAGUAGGGGUAAAGGGAAUUUCCAGUGGAGCGGUGAAGUGCGUAGAGAUUGGAAGGACCACCGAUGGCGAAGGCACUUUACUGGGCUAUUACUGACACUAAGAGACGAAAGCUAGGGUAGCG
rnacentral:rRNA from 1 species